CGGACGGGUGAGUAACACGUGGGUAACCUGCCCUAAAGUGGGGGAUAACAUUUGGAAACAGAUGCUAAUACCGCAUAAAACCUAACACCGCAUGGUGUAGGGUUGAAAGAUGGUUUCGGCUAUCACUUUAGGAUGGACCCGCGGUGCAUUAGUUAGUUGGUGAGGUAAAGGCUCACCAAGACCGUGAUGCAUAGCCGACCUGAGAGGGUAAUCGGCCACACUGGGACUGAGACACGGCCCAGACUCCUACGGGAGGCAGCAGUAGGGAAUCUUCCACAAUGGACGAAAGUCUGAUGGAGCAACGCCGCGUGAGUGAAGAAGGUUUUCGGAUCGUAAAACUCUGUUGUUGGAGAAGAAUGUAUCUGAUAGUAACUGAUCAGGUAGUGACGGUAUCCAACCAG
rnacentral:rRNA from 1 species